GGGUUGUGAGGUUAAGCGACUAAGCGUACACGGUGGAUGCCCUGGCAGUCAGAGGCGAUGAAGGGCGUGCUAAUCUGCGAUAAGCGCCGGUAAGGUGAUAUGAACCGUUAUAACCGGCGAUUUCCGAAUGGGGAAACCCAGUGUGACUCGUCACACUAUCAUUAACUGAAUCCAUAGGUUAAUGAGGCGAACCGGGGGAACUGAAACAUCUAAGUACCCCGAGGAAAAGAAAUCAACCGAGAUUCCCCCAGUAGCGGCGAGCGAACGGGGAGGAGCCCAGAGCCUGAAUCAGCAUGUGUGUUAGUGGAAGCGUCUGGAAAGGCGCGCGAUACAGGGUGACAGCCCCGUACACAAAAGCGCAUGUGUUGUGAGCUCGAUGAGUAGGG
rnacentral:rRNA from 1 species